AGAAGUUGCUUUGCAAAACCACAUCCUUUGGAUCAGAGAGAGUCACAUGGUAAACUUAAUUUCUUCAUCGUGGCCAAAAUAUACACACAUCCUCCCAGUGAAGGCAUCCAAGACGCACUUGAAGGCACAAGGACAAGUGAGUCUACCUGGAACCAUGCAAUGAGAACAAUGGACGUCCAGUGAACUUUCCCAUGUACCAGAAGGGAGGAUGCACAGCAAAGCCAGUGACAGCGGAUCCUAAGUUGUUUCAGUUUCACAAGUUUUUAUUUCAAAUUCCAAAUAAACCCCUGAUAGACGA